rnacentral:rRNA from 1 species
AUUGAACGCUGGCGGCAGGCCUAACACAUGCAAGUCGAGCGGAUCGGCGGAGGGGUGAGUAAUGCAUAUGAAUCUGCCUGGUAGUGGGGGAUAACGUUCGGAAAUGGGCGCUAAUACCGCAUACUAUCAGAUUAGCCUAGGUCGGAUUAGCUAGUUGGUGGGGUAAAGGCCUACCAAGGCGACGACCCGUAACUGGUCUGAGUGGAUGAUCAGUCAAACUGGAACUGAGACACGGUCCAGAGUCCUACGGGAGGCAGCAGUGGGGAAUAUUGGACAAUGGGCGAAAGCCUGAUCCAGCCAUGCCGCGUGUGUGAAGAAGGUCUUCGGAUUGUAAAGCACUUUAAGUUGGGAGGCGUUACCAACAGAAUAAGCACCGGCUAACUUCGUGCCAGCAGCCGCGGUAAUUC